AUUGAACGCUGGCGGCAGGCCUAACACAUGCAGGUCGAGCGGUAGAGAGGUGCUUGCAUCUCUUGAGAGCGGCGGACGGGUGAGUAAUGCCUAGGAAUCUGCCUGGUGGUGGGGGAUAACGUUCGGAAACGGACGCUAAUACCGCAUACGUCCUACGGGAGAAAGCGGGGGAUCUUCGGACCUCGCGCCAUUAGAUGAGCCUAGGUCGGAUUAGCUAGUUGGUGAGGUAAUGGCUCACCAAGGCGACGAUCCGUAACUGGUCUGAGAGGAUGAUCAGUCACACUGGAACUGAGACACGGUCCAGACUCCUACGGGAGGCAGCAGUGGGGAAUAUUGGACAAUGGGCGAAAGCCUGAUCCAGCCAUGCCGCGUGCAGGAUGAAGGCCCUCGGGUUGUAAACUGCUUUGUACGGAACGAAAAGGUUUCUAUUAAUACUAGGAGCUCAUGACGGUACCGUAAGAAUAAGACACCGGCUAACUACGUGCCAG
rnacentral:rRNA from 1 species